rnacentral:rRNA from 1 species
GAAAGUGAACGAUGCCGGCAGGCUAAUACAUGCAGUCGAGGGGCAGCAUUCACUUCGGUGGGAUGGCGACCGGCGCACGGGUGCGUAACGCGUAUGCAACCUACCUUGUACAGGGGGAUAGCCCGGAGAAAUUCGGAUUAAUACCCCGUGGUAUUAUGAUACGGCAUCGUAUAAUGAUUAAAGAUUUAUCGGUACAAGAUGGGCAUGCGUGACAUUAGCUAGUUGGUACGGUAAUGGCGUACCAAGGCGAUGAUGUCUAGGGGUUCUGAGAGGAUGAUCCCCCACACUGGUACUGAGAUACGGACCAGACCCCUACGGGAGGCAGCAGUAGGGAAUAUUGGUCAAUGGGCGGAAGCCUGAACCAGCCAUGCCGCGUGCAGGAAGACGGCCUUCUGGGUUGUAAACUGCUUUUACCAGGGAACAAAUAGGCCAUGCGUGGCAAGUUGAGUGUACCUGGGGAAUAAGCACCGGCUAACUCCGUGCCAGCAGCCGCGGUAAUACGGAGGGCGCAGGCGUUGUCCGGAUUUAUUGGGUUUAAAGGGUGCGUAGGCGGUUUAUUAAGUCAGUGGUGAAAGCCCCCAGCUCAACUGGGGAACUGCCAUUGAAACUGGUAGACUUGAGUACAGACGAGGUAGGCGGAAUUUAUGGUGUAGCGGUGAAAUGCAUGGAUACCACAAGGAACCCCGAUAGCGAAGGCAGCUUACUAGGCUGUAACUGACGCUGAGGCACGAAAGCGUGGGGAGCGAACAGGGAUUAGAUACCCUGGUAGUCCACGCAGUAAACGAUGACGACUCGAUGUGUGCGAUAUAUUGUACGCGUCUUAGCGAAAGCGUUAAGUCAUCCACCUGGGAGUACGCUCGCAAGAGUG